CUGGAGGAGAUCAGCGAGCGGCUGGAAGAGGCCGGCGGGGCCACGUCCGUGCAGAUCGAGAUGAACAAGAAGCGCGAGGCCGAGUUCCAGAAGAUGCGGCGGGACCUGGAGGAGGCCACGCUGCAGCACGAGGCCACUGCCGCGGCCCUGCGCAAGAAGCACGCCGACAGCGUGGCCGAGCUGGGCGAGCAGAUCGACAACCUGCAGCGGGUGAAGCAGAAGCUGGAGAAGGAGAAGAGCGAGUUCAAGCUGGAGCUGGAUGACGUCACCUCCAACAUGGAGCAGAUCAUCAAGGCCAAGGCUAACCUGGAGAAGAUGUGCCGGACCUUGGAAGACCAGAUGAAUGAGCACCGGAGCAAGGCGGAGGAGACCCAGCGUUCUGUCAACGACCUCACCAGCCAGCGGGCCAAGUUGCAAACCGAGAAUGGUGAGCUGUCCCGGCAGCUGGAUGAGAAGGAGGCACUGAUCUCCCAGCUGACCCGAGGCAAGCUCACCUACACCCAGCAGCUGGAGGACCUCAAGAGGCAGCUGGAGGAGGAGGUUAAGGCGAAGAACGCCCUGGCCCACGCACUGCAGUCGGCCCGGCAUGACUGCGACCUGCUGCGGGAGCAGUACGAGGAGGAGACGGAGGCCAAGGCCGAGCUGCAGCGCGUCCUUUCCAAGGCCAACUCGGAGGUGGCCCAGUGGAGGACCAAGUAUGAGACGGACGCCAUUCAGCGGACUGAGGAGCUCGAGGAGGCCAAGAAGAAGCUGGCCCAGCGGCUGCAGGAAGCUGAGGAGGCCGUGGAGGCUGUUAAUGCCAAGUGCUCCUCGCUGGAGAAGACCAAGCACCGGCUACAGAAUGAGAUCGAGGACUUGAUGGUGGACGUAGAGCGCUCCAAUGCUGCUGCUGCAGCCCUGGACAAGAAGCAGAGGAACUUCGACAAGAUCCUGGCCGAGUGGAAGCAGAAGUAUGAGGAGUCGCAGUCGGAGCUGGAGUCCUCGCAGAAGGAGGCUCGCUCCCUCAGCACAGAGCUCUUCAAACUCAAGAACGCCUAUGAGGAGUCCCUGGAACAUCUGGAGACCUUCAAGCGGGAGAACAAAAACCUGCAGGAGGAGAUCUCCGACUUGACUGAGCAGUUGGGUUCCAGCGGAAAGACUAUCCAUGAGCUGGAGAAGGUCCGAAAGCAGCUGGAGGCCGAGAAGAUGGAGCUGCAGUCAGCCCUGGAGGAGGCCGAGGCCUCCCUGGAGCACGAGGAGGGCAAGAUCCUCCGGGCCCAGCUGGAGUUCAACCAGAUCAAGGCAGAGAUCGAGCGGAAGCUGGCAGAGAAGGACGAGGAGAUGGAACAGGCCAAGCGCAACCACCUGCGGGUGGUGGACUCGCUGCAGACCUCCCUGGACGCAGAGACACGCAGCCGCAACGAGGCCCUGAGGGUGAAGAAGAAGAUGGAAGGAGACCUCAAUGAGAUGGAGAUCCAGCUCAGCCACGCCAACCGCAUGGCCGCCGAGGCCCAGAAGCAAGUCAAGAGCCUCCAGAGCUUGUUGAAGGACACCCAGAUUCAGCUGGACGAUGCAGUCCGUGCCAACGACGACCUGAAGGAGAACAUCGCCAUCGUGGAGCGGCGCAACAACCUGCUGCAGGCUGAGCUGGAGGAGUUGCGUGCCGUGGUGGAGCAGACAGAGCGGUCCCGGAAGCUGGCGGAGCAGGAGCUGAUUGAGACUAGUGAGCGGGUGCAGCUGCUGCAUUCCCAGAACACCAGCCUCAUCAACCAGAAGAAGAAGAUGGAUGCUGACCUGUCCCAGCUCCAGACUGAAGUGGAGGAGGCAGUGCAGGAGUGCAGGAAUGCUGAGGAGAAGGCCAAGAAGGCCAUCACGGAUGCCGCCAUGAUGGCAGAGGAGCUGAAGAAGGAGCAGGACACCAGCGCCCACCUGGAGCGCAUGAAGAAGAACAUGGAACAGACCAUUAAGGACCUGCAGCACCGGCUGGACGAAGCCGAGCAGAUCGCCCUCAAGGGCGGCAAGAAGCAGCUGCAGAAGCUGGAAGCGCGGGUGCGGGAGCUGGAGAAUGAGCUGGAGGCCGAGCAGAAGCGCAACGCAGAGUCGGUGAAGGGCAUGAGGAAGAGCGAGCGGCGCAUCAAGGAGCUCACCUACCAGACGGAGGAGGACAGGAAAAACCUGCUGCGGCUGCAGGACCUGGUAGACAAGCUGCAGCUAAAGGUCAAGGCCUACAAGCGCCAGGCCGAGGAGGCGGAGGAGCAAGCCAACACCAACCUGUCCAAGUUCCGCAAGGUGCAGCACGAGCUGGAUGAGGCAGAGGAGCGGGCGGACAUCGCCGAGUCCCAGGUCAACAAGCUGCGGGCCAAGAGCCGUGACAUUGGCACGAAGGGCUUGAAUGAGGAGUAGCUUUGCCACAUCUUGAUCUGCUCAGCCCUGGAGGUGCCAGCAAAGCCCCAUGCUGGAGCCUGUGUAACAGCUCCUUGGGAGGAAGCAGAAUAAAGCAAUUUUCCUUGAAGCCG
rnacentral:lncRNA from 1 species